UGCCACUUAUUUCCCAUGUGAGAGAGAUUCAAAGAUGGAAGUGACAAUGUGGAUGGCUUUAGCUACCACCAUUUUCACAACCAUGGUAGCAGUCGCUUCAUCGGCAGUGUCUACCGUGACCUUUGUCUUCGGUGACUCCUUGACAGAAGUAGGGAACAACAACUAUCUGUCGUAUUCUCUUGCAAAGUAAAAAUUAUCCUUGGUAUGGUGUCGAUUAUGCCGGAACUCAAGCUACUGGGAGGUUCACUAAUGGAAGAACCAUUGGCGACAUUAUAUCCCAAAAGCUUGGGAUUACAUCACCACCACCUUAUCUAUCCUUGGCACAGAAUGAUGAUGCACUGCUUAAAGGGGUUAAUUAUGUAUCUGGUGGUGCAGGAAUACUGAAUGACACUGGACUCUAUUUUAUUCAGAGAAUGUUGUUUGAUGAUCAAAUACAAAAUUUCAACAAGACAAAGGAAGCCAUCAAGGCUAAGAUUGGGACAAAGGAAGUAGUCAAUUUAUUGAUUGAAUCCCUUUGCAUAUUUUCAUGCAGCAAUGAUUAUGUCAACAAUUACCUGCAACCCUUUUCAGCUGAUUGUCAGCAGUACACUUAUGAUGAAUUUGUGGAAUUAUUGAUUGGUACAUUAGAGAGACAAUUUAAGGUUAGUAAACACUAUUAGUUUUUUUUUUUUUUUUUUUUUUUUUUUGAACAAAUCGAUAUUAUCUACACUAAGGUGAGGGGGUGUCGCCUUUGGCGAGAGUUGAACCUAAGACCUCUCACUAAUCAGUGAGGAGGAAUACCACUAGACCGUAGUACUAGUGGCAGUAAACACUAUUAGUUAGAUUAGGGAAAACGGAUAUUUUGGAUUCGUCUUAAAACCUCUCACACUUUUUCUAGUAUUGAGAAGAGAAGUACCAUUAAAAGAGAAUGCUUUGAAUAAUUUUAUUCUUCUCAAUGAGAGGUAUUUAUACAAUGUGUACAACCCUAAUGUAAUAGGAAGAAAACUAAUUACACGAAAUUAUAGGAGAUUACAUGGAAUUGAUAUCAAUUAGGAAUCCUACCUAAAAUACAAAGUCAACACUCCCCCUCAAGUUGGUGCAUAUAUGUUACUCAUGCCCAACUUGUGUAAGAAACAUGAAAACUUAUGACUUGAAACAGCUUUCGUGAGGAUAUCUGCCAACUGAUCCUCUGUUCUUAUUGUCGGUAGCUCAAUUAUUUUUUCUUCUAAUUUUUCUUUGAUGAAGAAUCGAUCAACUUCAACAUGCUUUGUUCUAUCAUGUUGUACCGGAUUAUGUGCAAUGUCACGGGCAGCUUUAUUAUCACAAAAUAAUUUCAUAGGUUGAUCAUGUGGUAUACCCAAAUCGUGAAGCAGGAGCCUAAGCCACAGAAUUUCACAAAUCCCCAAAGCCAUACCUCUAUAUUCAACUUCUGCACUAGAACGGGCAACCACAUUCUAUUUCUUACUUCUCCAUGUAACCAAGUUACCCCCAACGAAUGUAAAGUAACCUGAUGUUGUGUGCCUAUCGUCAAUCGAACCCGCCCAAUCUGCAUUAGUAUAACCUUCAACUCUAAGAUGAUUAUUCCCUUUAAACAAAAUUCCUUUGCCGGGACUUCCUUUCAAACAUCUCAAAGUUCUCAUCACUGCAUUCAUAUGUUGUUCUCCGGGAUCAUGCAUGUAUUGACUUACUACACUUAAGGCAUAAGCAAGGUCCGGUCUUGUGUGUGCCAAGUACAUUAAACGACUUACUAACCUUUGGUAUCUCCCUUUGUCAACUGGUACUUGAUUAGGAUCAACACUAAGCUUCAAUCCUUCCUUUAAUGGUGUAGCUACUGGUUGACAAGCUAACAUGUCGGUUUCGUGCAACAAAUCAAUAAUAUACUUCCUCUGUGAUAAGAAAAUUCCCAAACUGCUUCUCGAUACCUCAAUCCCUAAAAAAUAUUUCAAUGAUCCAAGGUCCUUCAUCUUAAAUUCUGUAGACAAAUAUCUUUGCAAGGCUGCACGUUCUUUUGGGUCAUUACCUGUUACCACCAUAUCAUCUACAUACACAAUAAGUGCAGUAAGUUUCUCAUUUAGUCUUUUCAGGAACAGAGUAUGAUCGGAGUUACUUUGUUUGUAUCCAAAUGCUCUCAUAGAUUUUGUGAAUCUUCCAAACCAUGCCCGAGAGAACUGCUUCAAACCAUAUAAGGAUUUCUUCAACCUGCACACUUUUCUUUUGUAUUUAUCUAGAGCAUUACAUCCUGGUGGAAGAUCCAUAUAAAUCUCUUAUGUCAAGUCUCCAUGCAAGAAGGCGUUCUUCACAUCAAACUGUUGUAAGGGCCAAUUAAGAUUUGCGACCAAGGACAACAAAACACGAACUGUGUUGAUCUUGGCUACAGGUGCAAAUGUAUAUGUGUAGUUGAUUCCAUAUUUUUUAGUGUAUCUUUUUGCUACCAGUCUUGCCUUGAAACGAUCCAUCGUCCCAUCUGCUUUGUAUUUCAUAGUAUAAACUCAUUUGCAUCCCACAGGUUUCUUGCCAGCUGACAAAUCUAUGAUCUUUUAGGUAGCAUUCUUCUUCAAAGACUUCAACUCUUCAUUCAUUGCUGCUUGCCAACGUGGAUCAGCUAAAGCCUCAUGCACACUGUUAGGAACAGAUACAGUAGAUAAUUGAUGCACAAACGACUUAUUUGAUUCUGACAGGUGACUGGUAGACACAUAAUUACUUAACCGGUAUAACACAUUAGACUCAGGGUUGGGCUUACUCACUGGAUACCUAGUUUUGCAUUUAGGGUCGACUUCAUAAGUAAGUUUAGGAAUACCUCGGUUGACGUGAUCAGGGAGACGACGUGGUGGUGGUGCAUCCGGGAUCGAAGACGAUUAAUUAUGGUUAUUAGGACUCAAGAUCGACUGUGAGGUAGCUGGCGACAUAGGGCUGUCCUUUGGUGAAGAAAUUGGCAGUGAGUUAUCUGGCAAUGUCGACUCGUCCAUUUCAAGGUUUUCAACAUUGUUUCCAUGUAAUGAUCACCACUUGUUUCCAAGACAUUACCACUUAAUUCUAAUUCAUUCACAUCAUUGUUUUCAUGUGAAUGAUCACCACUUAUUUCCAAGACAUCACCACUUAAAUCCAAAUCAUUCACUCUAUCUAUAUUUGGAAUAGUAUAAUCAAGGGUUUGAACUUCUUUCUGACUCUCCCCCUGAAGUGAAGGCUCGGGAUUGGCAAAGUACAUAUUAUUCUCAUGAAACGCAACAUCCAUAGUGACAAACAACUUAUUCGUCGGAGGAUGAUAACAACGGUAUCCUUUUUGCCUUGAUGCAUACCCCACAAACACACAUCGUAAGGCCCGAGGUUCAAGCUUAUUUCGUUGUUGUUUGUGAAGAUGAACGAAGGCCACACAACCAAACACAUGAGGUGGAAGACUAGUGACUGCAGGAGCAUCAACAUGGGAAGAAAGUGCCUGAAGAGGUGUCUGAAAAUCAACCGAUCGGGAUGGAACACGAUUAAUGAGAUACGCAGCUGAGGUGAGAGCUUCUCCCAAUAGGAUAACGGGAGACGCGCCUUGAGUAAAGAAACACGAACAACCUCCAGAAGCUGGCGGUUCUUGCGUUCGGCAACUCCAUUUUAUUGUGGAGUAUAUGGACAUGUAGUUUGAUGAACAAUUCCAUGAUGAUCAAGAAAGGCACGAAGUUCAGAGUUAACAUAUUCACCACCAUUAUCACUCCUGAGAACCUGUAUUUGUGACUUAUAUUGUACUUGUACCAUUUUGUAAAACUGCUGAAAUAAAGAAGUAACUUCACUUUUGGAUUUCAUCAAACAAACCCAAGUCAUACGUGUGCAGUCAUCAAUAAAAGUAACGAACCAAUGAGCACCACCAAAUGUAGCAGUUUUAGAUGGACCCCAAACAUCAGAAUGAAUUAUCAUAAAUGGAACAUAACUUUUAUUCAAACUGGAUGGAAACGAAGCACGAUGACUUUUAGCUAGUUCACAAACACCACAUUUAAAGCCAGAAACAUCAUGCUUAACAAAUAGGCUAGGAAACAACCUCCGUAAAUAGCCGAAAGAAGCAUGUCCAAGUCAACGAUGCCACAAUCUCUGAAGCUUUAUUCUUAUCCCUGUGAUUUCCUUCCACUGCAAGAGCUUGAGUCAGCAUGCGGGAACUGUUCGAUGUCAGCUCCAAGUAGUAGAGCUUCCCCUUCCUAAUACCAUAACCAAUCGUCUUGCGAGUCCGAAUGUCUUAAAAACACAAAAAAUCACAAGAAAAUGUAGGGCGACAUUUAUUUGAGCAACAUAUAAUAAAUUAUAGUCAAGAGAAUGAAUAACGAGUACAGAAUCAAGAUUCAGGGUUUCAAAAAGUGAGACAUCGCCUUCUCCGAUAAUGGGGGCAACAUUACCAUUGGCAACAUUCACGACAUUUUUGGGUGAUGGUUUUAGGGUUUGUACCUGUCUAGAAUCACAAGUCAUAUGUUCAGUAGCACCUGAAUCAAUUGUCCAUGUAUUAUUUAUAACAGAUGUAGAAACCUUUAAAGCCUUACCUUUGUUACCUGUAUUAGAAUCUAUUUUCGAUUUGACAAUCGAGGUACACGACUUGUUACAGUGGGGAUCACAAGUCUUGAAUUGGUCUCGAUUAGUCCAACUCUCAUGUCCGAUUAGUUCAGAUCCAUUUGAAAAAGAACGAGCACGGGCAGCCAUUGUGAAUUGGGUGCAACGUGUGUACAGGAACCAAAUUUAGCAGCAACUAUGAGGCCCAAAAAA